rnacentral:rRNA from 1 species
AUUGAACGCUGGCGGCAGGCCUAACACAUGCAAGUCGAACGAGUGGCGGACGGGUGAGUAAUGUCUGGGAAACUGCCUGAUGGAGGGGGUUAACUCGUGGAAACGGUAGUUAAUACCGCAUACCAUCGGCUUUGCCCAGAUGGGAUUAGCUAGUAGGUGGGGUAAAGGCUCACCUAGGCAACGAUCCAUAGCUGGUCUGAGAGGAUGACCAGCCACACUGGAACUGAGACACGGUCCAGACUCCUACGGGAGGCAGCAGUGGGGAAUAUUGCGCAAUGGGCGCAAGCCUGAUGCAGCCAUGCCGCGUGUGUGAAGAAGGCCUUCGGGUUGUAAAGUACUGUCAGCGGGGAGGCGUUACCCGCAGAAGAAGCACCGGCUAACUCCGUGCCAGCAGCCGCGGUAAUAC